rnacentral:rRNA from 1 species
UACAGGGGGCUCGAGCGUUAGUCGGAAUCACUGGGCGUAAAGGGCGCGUAGGCGGCGCGGGCAGUCAACGGUGAAAGCUCGGGGCUCAACUCCGAGUCGGCCGUCGAUACUCCCGCGCUCGAGCACUGUAGAGGCAGGUGGAAUUCCGGGUGUAGCGGUGGAAUGCGUAGAGAUCCGGAAGAACACCGGUGGCGAAGGCGGCCUGCUGGGCAGUAGCUGACGCUGAGGCGCGACAGCGUGGGGAGCAAACAGG